rnacentral:rRNA from 1 species
CAGGAUGAACGCUAGCGACAGGCUUAACACAUGCAAGUCGAGGGCAUCACGGGAGUAGCAAUACAACUGGUGGCGACCGGCGCACGGGUGAGUAACGCGUAUGCAACCUACCUAUCAGAGGGGAAUAACCCGGCGAAAGUCGGACUAAUACCGCAUAAAACAGGGGCACCGCAUGGUGAUAUUUGUUAAAGAAAUUCGCUGAUAGAUGGGCAUGCGUUCCAUUAGGUAGUUGGUGAGGUAACGGCUCACCAAGCCGACGAUGGAUAGGGAACUGAGAGGUUGGUCCCCCACACUGGUACUGAGACACGGACCAGACUCCUACGGGAGGCAGCAGUGAGGAAUAUUGGUCAAUGGGCGGGAGCCUGAACCAGCCAAGUCGCGUGAAGGAAGAAGGAUCUAUGGUUCGUAAACUUCUUUUGCAGGGGAAUAAAGUGCAGGACGUGUCCUGUUUUGUAUGUACCCUGAGAAUAAGGAUCGGCUAACUCCGUGCCAGCCGCCGC